ensembl:snoRNA
CCUGUGUGAUGAUAAAGCAAAUACUGACUAAACAUGAAAGUUUUAAUUAGCUCUAUCUGAUAU